CAUUCUUUUCCAUCAUAUAAAACACAUCUGCCCAGAAGUUGUUCAUCUUCAGUUUUCAGAAAGCGAGGAGGAGAAGGUAUUUGUGCAUCGUUUCUCAUUUGAGAAGGCUACAAUCCGCAGGUCCUAGCUGACAACGUCUCGGAUAUAGGACAAUUUAUUCUCAGGGACGUGGCGGAUAUGGAGCCUCUGAUGAUUCUACUUCUGCUAGCAGGACUAGCAGGGAAGACAGCGUCAGACACAACAGCAAUAGGCAACAACUCUACUUCCACAACAACAGCCCCUCCACCACCAGAGGUUAAGCUGGAGUUCAAAUUGGAGCAAAACUUCACCGCAGACUUGAAUAAUGCAUCAUCACCACAUUUUCAAGCAUUAGCAGCAAGUGUGGCUACAGUGCUGGACAGUGAUUACAAACACAAAUAUGGAUCCAGUUUCAAUCGCACAGUGGUUCUUGGUUUCAGUGAACGUUCGGUUGUGGUAUAUACUGUGCUAGUAUUCAAUAAUAACACAGCUGCUCCCACAACAACCACAGCUGCUCCAGCAACAACAACAUAUGCUGCCACAACAACCACAGCUGCUCCAGCAACAACAACAUAUGCUGCCACAACAACCACUUCUGCUCCCACAACAA